UUUAUGGAGAGUUUGAUCCUGGCUCAGGAUGAACGCUGGCGGCGUGCCUAAUACAUGCAAGUCGAGCGAACAGAUAAGGAGCUUGCUCCUUUGACGUUAGCGGCGGACGGGUGAGUAACACGUGGGUAACCUACCUAUAAGACUGGAAUAACUCCGGGAAACCGGGGCUAAUGCCGGAUAACAUGUUGAACCGCAUGGUUCUACAGUGAAAGACGGUUUUGCUGUCACUUAUAGAUGGACCCGCGCCGUAUUAGCUAGUUGGUGGGGUAACGGCCUACCAAGGCGACGAUACGUAGCCGACCUGAGAGGGUGAUCGGCCACACUGGAACUGAGACACGGUCCAGACUCCUACGGGAGGCAGCAGUAGGGAAUCUUCCGCAAUGGGCGAAAGCCUGACGGAGCAACGCCGCGUGAGUGAUGAAGGUCUUCGGAUCGUAAAGCUCUGUUGUUAGGGAAGAACAAAUGUGUAAGUAACUGUGCACAUCUUGACGGUACCUAACCAGAAAGCCACGGCUAACUACGUGCCAGCAGCCGCGGUAAUACGUAGGUGGCAAGCGUUAUCCGGAAUUAUUGGGCGUAAAGCGCGCGUAGGC
rnacentral:rRNA from 1 species